CCCAGUUGUAGGCAACUGCCUAGAUUGCCUUGUACCUAAGCAAGUGUUGCACUGUUGGGAGCAAAGCAGCCAAUAGUUGGCAGGUAUUCUGGGCCUAGGUAAUGCCAAAUCUGUGUUAACUAAGCCAGUAUGUUAGCAUAGU
rnacentral:snoRNA from 1 species